rnacentral:rRNA from 1 species
CGGACGGGUGAGUAAUGCUUGGGAAUCUGGCUUAUGGAGGGGGAUAACGACGGGAAACUGUCGCUAAUACCGCGUAAUAUCUUCGGAUUAAAGGGUGGGACUUUCGGGCCACCUGCCAUAAGAUGAGCCCAAGUGGGAUUAGGUAGUUGGUGGGGUAAAGGCCUACCAAGCCGACGAUCUCUAGCUGGUCUGAGAGGAUGACCAGCCACACUGGAACUGAGACACGGUCCAGACUCCUACGGGAGGCAGCAGUGGGGAAUAUUGCACAAUGGGGGGAACCCUGAUGCAGCCAUGCCGCGUGAAUGAAGAAGGCCUUCGGGUUGUAAAGUUCUUUCGGUGAUGAGGAAGGGUGAUGUUUUAAUAGUGCAUUACAUUGACGUUAGUCACAGAAGAAGCACCGGCUAACUCCGUGCCAGCAGCCGCGGUAAUACGGAGGGUGCGAGCGUUAAUCGGAAUGACUGGGCGUAAAGGGCACGCAGGCGGUGACUUAAGUGAGAUGUGAAAGCCCCGAGCUUAACUUGGGAAUUGCAUUUCAUACUGGGUCGCUAGAGUAUUUUAGGGAGGGGUAGAAUUCCACGUGUAGCGGUGAAAUGCGUAGAGAUGUGGAGGAAUACCGAAGGCGAAGGCAGCCCCUUGGGAAUAUACUGACGCUCAUGUGCGAAAGCGUGGGGAGCAAACAGGAUUAGAUACCCUGGUAGUCCACGCUGUAAACGCUGUCGAUUUGGGGAUUGGGCUUUGAGCUUGGUGCCCGUAGCUAACGUGAUAAAUCGACCGCCU